rnacentral:tRNA from 1 species
UGGGGUGUAGCCAAGCGGUUAAGGCACAGGGUUUUGAUCCCUGCAUACCUAGGUUCAAAUCCUAGCACCCCAG